AGGACGAACGCUGGCGGCGUGCUUAACACAUGCAAGUCGAGCGGAAAGGCCCUUCGGGGUACUCGAGCGGCGAACGGGUGAGUAACACGUGAGUAAUCUGCCCCUAGCUCUGGGAUAGCUCCGGGAAAACCGGGAUUAAUACCAGAUACGACCACUUUAGACAUCUGCUGUGGUGGAAAGAAUUUCGGCUAGGGAUGAGCUCGCGGCCUAUCAGCUUGUUGGUGAGGUAACGGCUCACCAAGGCGACGACGGGUAGCCGGCCUGAGAGGGCGACCGGCCACACUGGGACUGAGACACGGCCCAGACUCCUACGGGAGGCAGCAGUGGGGAAUAUUGCGCAAUGGGCGAAAGCCUGACGCAGCGACGCCGCGUGGGGGAUGAAGGCCUUCGGGUUGUAACCCUUUCAGCAGGGACGAAGCGAAAGUGACGGUACCUGCAGAAGAAGCGCCGGCUAACUACGUGCCAGCAGCCGCGGUAA
rnacentral:rRNA from 1 species